rnacentral:rRNA from 1 species
GUGGGGAAUAUUGGACAAUGGGCGCAAGCCUGAUCCAGCAAUGCCGCGUGGGUGAAGAAGGUCUUCGGAUCGUAAAGCCCUUUCGACAGGGACGAUGAUGACGGUACCUGUAGAAGAAGCCCCGGCUAACUUCGUGCCAGCAGCCGCGGUACUACGAAGGGGGCUAGCGUUACUCGGAAUUACUGGGCGUAAAGGGCGCGUAGGCGGCUCUGUUAGUCAGGCGUGAAAUUCCUGGGCUUAACCUGGGGACUGCGCUUGAUACUGCAGGGCUUGAGGCCGAGAGAGGGUGGUGGAAUUCCCAGUGUAGAGGUGAAAUUCGUAGAUAUUGGGAAGAACACCGGUGGCGAAGGCGACCACCUGGCUCGGUUCUGACGCUGAGGCGCGACAGCGUGGGGAGCAAACAGGAUUAGAUACCCCUGUAGUCC